ACUCCUACGGGAGGCAGCAGUGGGGAAUAUUGCACAAUGGGGGAAAACCCUGAUGCAGCCAUGCCGCGUGUGUGAAGAAGGCCUUCGGGUUGUAAAGCACUUUCAGUAGGGAGGAAGGUAGUGUAGUUAACACCUGCAUUAUUUGACGUUACCUACAGAAGAAGCACCGGCUAACUCCGUGCCAGCAGCCGCGGUAAGUACGGAGGGUGCGAGCGUUAAUCGGAAUUACUGGGCGUAAAGCGCAUGCAGGCGGCCUGUUAAGUCAGAUGUGAAAGCCCGGGGUCUUAACCUCGGAAUUGCAUUUGAAACUGGCAGGCUAGAGUCUUGUAGAGGGGUUAGAAUUUCAGGUGUAGCGGUGAAAUGCGUAGAGAUCUGAAGGAAUACCAGGUGGCGAAGGCGGCCCCCGUGGACAAAGACUGACGCUCAGAUGCGAAAGCGUGGG
rnacentral:rRNA from 1 species